GACAGAGGGGGCAAGCGUUGCUCGGAAUUACUGGGCGUAAAGGGCGCGUAGGCGGGAUGGUAAGUCGGUCGUGAAAUCCCUCGGCUCAACCGAGGAACGUCGAUCGAUACUACCGUUCUUGAGGAUUGCAGAGGAGACUGGAAUUCCUGGUGUAGCGGUGAAAUGCGCAGAUAUCAGGAAGAACACCCGUGGCGAAGGCGGCUCUCUGGGACGUGACUGACGCUGAGACGCGAAAGCGUGGGGAGCAAACAGG
rnacentral:rRNA from 1 species